AUGGGCGCAAGCCUGAUGCAGCCAUGCCGCGUGUAUGAAGAAGGCCUUCGGGUUGUAAAGUACUUUCAGUCGUGAGGAAGGCGGCGUCGUUAAUAGCGGCGUUGUUUGACGUUAGCGACAGAAGAAGCACCGGCUAACUCCGUGCCAGCAGCCGCGGUAAUACGGAGGGUGCGAGCGUUAAUCGGAAUUACUGGGCGUAAAGCGCAUGCAGGUGGUUUGUUAAGUCAGAUGUGAAAGCCCGGGGCUCAACCUCGGAAUAGCAUUUGAAACUGGCAGACUAGAGUACUGUAGAGGGGGGUAGAAUUUCAGGUGUAGCGGUGAAAUGCGUAGAGAUCUGAAGGAAUACCGGUGGCGAAGGCGGCCCCCUGGACAGAUACUGACACUCAGAUGCGAAAGCGUGGGGAGCAAACAGGAUUAGAUACCCUGGUAGUCCACGCCGUAAACGAUGUCUACUUGGAGGUUGUGGCCUUGAGCCGUGGCUUUCGGAGCUAACGCGUUAAGUAGACCGCCUGGUUUCGGAGCUAACGCGUUAAGUAGACCGCCUGG
rnacentral:rRNA from 1 species